CGGAGGUGAUGAUCCAAGCGACUUGAUGUGGUAACACGUGGAGUAGCAAGUGAGGUGGAAGCAGUAACAAUAAAAAUGCAGCAAAAGCAGAAGCAGAGGAUAAGCAGAAGGUACAGGAAGGCCUAAAAAUGGGGACCACACAUGAGGUUCGACAUGGCUGUCAAUUUUAUGGCAUUUUUGUGUGGAUCGGGUAUGUUAGGAGGGACCAUCUUAACGGUGUAUCAUAUCUGUGUAGUAUAUAUAUUUAUGUAUGAUUUUUAAAUAAAUUAUUUUAUGAAACUA
rnacentral:lncRNA from 1 species